rnacentral:rRNA from 1 species
GACGGGGGGGGCAAGCGUUGUUCGGAAUUACUGGGCGUAAAGGGCUCGUAGGUGGCCAACUAAGUCAGACGUGAAAUCCCUCGGCUUAACCGGGGAACUGCGUCUGAUACUGAUGGCUUGAGUUUGGGAGAGGGAUGCGGAAUUCCAGGUGUAGCGGUGAAAUGCGUAGAUAUCUGGAGGAACACCGGUGGCGAAGGCGGCAUCCUGGACCAACACUGACGCUGAGUGAGCGAAAGCCAGGGGAGCAAACGGG